AUUGAACGCUGGCGGCAGGCCUAACACAUGCAAGUCGAACGGUAACAGGAAGCAGCUUGCUGCUUUGCUGACGAGUGGCGGACGGGUGAGUAAUGUCUGUGAAACUGCCUGAUGGAGGGGGAUAACUACUGGAAACGGUAGCUAAUACCGCAUAACGUCGCAAGACCAAAGAGGGGGACCUUCGGGCCUCUUGCCAUCGGAUGUGCCCAGAUGGGAUUAGCUAGUAGGUGGGGUAACGGCUCACCUAGGCGACGAUCCCUAGCUGGUCUGAGAGGAUGACCAGCCACACUGGAACUGAGACACGGUCCAGACUCCUACGGGAGGCAGCAGUGGGGAAUAUUGCACAAUGGGCGCAAGCCUGAUGCAGCCAUGCCGCGUGUAUGAAGAAGGCCUUCGGGUUGUAAAGUACUUUCAGCGGGGAGGAAGGGAGUAAAGUUAAUACCUUCGCUCAUUGACGUUACCCGCAGAAGAAGCACCGGCUAACUACGUG
rnacentral:rRNA from 1 species